rnacentral:rRNA from 1 species
UACAGAGGGGGCAAGCGUUGUUCGGAAUUACUGGGCGUAAAGGGCGCGUAGGCGGCCUGCUAAGUCGAACGUGAAAUCCCCGGGCUCAACCCGGGAACUGCGUCCGAUACUGACAGGCUUGAAUCCGGGAGAGGGAUGUGGAAUUCCAGGUGUAGCGGUGAAAUGCGUAGAUAUCUGGAGGAACACCGGUGGCGAAAGCGGCUCUCUGGCCCGGUUCUGACGCUGAGGCGCGAAAGCGUGGGGAGCAAACAGG